CCUACGGGAGGCAGCAGUGGGGAAUAUUGGACAAUGGGCGCAAGCCUGAUCCAGCCAUGCCGCGUGAGUGAUGAAGGCCUUAGGGUUGUAAAGCUCUUUUACCUGGGAAGAUAAUGACGGUACCAGGAGAAUAAGCCCCGGCUAACUUCGUGCCAGCAGCCGCGGUAAUACGAAGGGGGCUAGCGUUGUUCGGAUUUACUGGGCGUAAAGCGCACGUAGGUGGAUCUUUAAGUCAGAGGUGAAAGCCUGGAGCUCAACUCCAGAACUGCCUUUGAUACUGGGGAUCUCGAGUCCGGGAGAGGUGAGUGGAACUGCGAGUGUAGAGGUGAAAUUCGUAGAUAUUCGCAAGAACACCAGUGGCGAAGGCGGCUCACUGGCCCGGUACUGACGCUGAGGUGCGGAAGCGUGGGGAGCAAACAGGAUUAGAUACCCUGGUAGUCCACGCCGUAAACGAUGGAUGCCAGCCGUUGGACAGCUUGCUGUUCAGUGGCGCAGUUAACGCUUUAAGCAUCCCGCCUGGGGAGUACGGUCGCAAGAUUAAAACUUAAAUGAAUUGACGG
rnacentral:rRNA from 1 species